rnacentral:rRNA from 1 species
GACGAACGCUGGCGGCGUGCUUAACACAUGCAAGUCGAACGGUGAAGCGCCUUCCUUUUUGGUGGGUGUGGAUGAGUGGCGAACGGGUGAGUAACACGUGAGUAACCUGCCCCCUUCUUCUGGAUAACCGCAUGAAAGUGUGGCUAAUACGGGAUAUUCUGGGUCUGUCGCAUGAUGGGUCUGGGAAAGAUAUUGUUUCGGUGGGGGAUGGGCUCGCGGCCUAUCAGCUUGUUGGUGGGGUGAUGGCCUACCAAGGCGGUGACGGGUAGCCGGCCUGAGAGGGUGUACGGUCACACUGGGACUGAGACACGGCCCAGACUCCUACGGGAGGCAGCAGUGGGGAGUAUUGCACAAUGGGCGCAAGCCUGAUGCAGCGACGCCGCGUGAGGGAUGGAGGCCUUCGGGUUGUGAACCUCUUUCGCCAGUGAAGCAGGCCUGCCUCGUUUGUGGGUGGGUUGACGGUAGCUGGAUAAGAAGCGCCGGCUAACUACGUG